UUGGCUUAGAAGCAGCCAUCCUUGAAAGAGUGCGUAAUAGCUCACUGGUCAAGUGGUUCUGCGCCGACAAUGUAGCGGGGCUCAAGCGUACCGCCGAAGCUGUGGCAACAACGCGUUUGUGCUGGCGCCAGGAACUGGAGUGCUGGUGUGUUGUUGGGUAGGGGAGCGUCCUGCACGAGGUGAAGCCUGGAGGGAACUUCUGGUGGAUUGUGUGGGAGUGAGAAUGCAGGCAUGAGUAACGAAUCUGCGGUGAGAAUCCGCAGCGCCGAUUGACUAAGGGUUCCAGGGCUAGGUUUAUCCGCCCUGGGUUAGUCGGGUCCUAAGGCGAGGCCGACAGGCGUAGUCGAUGGACAACCAGUUGAUAUUCUGGUACCGCGUUGUGACCGCCCAUGCUGAAGUCAUUGUGCUAACCAAUUUGCCCACCGCCUGCUGGGCCUUCGGGUUUGGUGGUGUGUGUGGGUCUUGGGGUCCCGGUGAUUGUAGGCAAGCGUGUUAACAGGGGUGACGCAGACAGGUAGCUGCAGUGCGCCGAUGGUUGUGCGUAUUUAAGGUUGUGGCCCGCCUCCCAGGCAAAUCCGGGGGACACUGUGGGUGAGAACUGAUGAGGGACACACGCGUGUGUGGACUUGUGGUGAUCCUAAGCUGCCGAGAAAAGCCUCGACGUGAGGGCAUGACGCGCCCGUACCCUAAACCGACUCAGGUGGUCAGGUAGAGUAUACCGAGGCGUUCGAGUGAAUCGUGGUUAAGGAACUCGGCAAAAUUCCUCCGUAACUUCGGGAUAAGGAGGACCCCGUGACUUCCCAGUGCCUCGCGCGCUGGUGGGGUUGUGGGGUCGCAGAGAAUAGGGAGAAGCGACUGUUUAUCAAAAACACAGGUGCGUGCGAAGCCGUAAGGCGAUGUAUACGCACUGACGCCUGCCCGGUGCUGGAAGGUUAAGAGGAACCGUCAACACUCCUUUGGGGUGUGAAGCGGUGAAUUUAAGCCCCAGUAAACGGCGGUGGUAACUAUAACCAUCCUAAGGUAGCGAAAUUCCUUGUCGGGUAAGUUCCGACCUGCACGAAUGGCGUAACGACUUCUCCGCUGUCUCAACCGCGAACUCGGUGAAAUUGCAGUACGAGUAAAGAUGCUCGUUUCGCGCAGAAGGACGGAAAGACCCCGGGACCUUUACUAUAGCUUGGUAUUGGUGUUCGCUUGGACUUGUGUAGGAUAGGUGGGAGACUGUGAAGCUGCCGCGCCAGCGGUGGUGGAGUCGUCGUUGAAAUACCAUUCUGGUUCAAGCGGUCACCUCAACCUUGGCCCGUAAUCCGGGUUGGGGACAGUGCCUGGUGGGUAGUUUAACUGGGGCGGUUGCCUCCUAAAAUGUAACGGAGGCGCUCAAAGGUUCCCUCAGCCUGGUUGGUAAUCAGGUGGCGAGUGCAAGUGUACAAGGGAGCUUGACUGUGAGACCGACGGGUCGAGCAGGUGCGAAAGCAGGAACUAGUGAUCCGGCCAUGGCACGUGGGUGCGUGGUCGCUCAACGGAUAAAAGGUACCCCGGGGAUAACAGGCUGAUCUUGCCCAAGAGUCCAUAUCGACGGCAUGGUUUGGCACCUCGAUGUCGGCUCGUCGCAUCCUGGGGCUGGAGUCGGUCCCAAGGGUUGGGCUGUUCGCCCAUUAAAGCGGUACGCGAGCUGGGUUCAGAACGUCGUGAGACAGUUCGGUCCCUAUCCUCUGUGCGCGCAGGAAAUUUGAGAAGGGCCGUCCCUAGUACGAGAGGACCGGGAUGGACGAACCUCUGGUGUGCCAGUUGUACCGCCAGGUGCAUGGCUGGUUGGCUACGUUCGGAAGGGAUAACCGCUGAAAGCAUCUAAGCGGGAAGCCUGCUUCAAGAUGAG
rnacentral:rRNA from 1 species